AACGAACGCUGGCGGCAGGCUUAACACAUGCAAGUCGAACGCAUCCUUCGGGGUGAGUGGCAGACGGGUGAGUAACGCGAGGGAACGUGCCCUUCAGUUCGGGAUAACCCAGGGAAACUUGGGCUAAUACCGGAUACGUGCGAGAGCAGAAAAAUUUAUCGCUGAAGGAUCGGCCCGCGUCUGAUUAGCUAGUUGGUGGGGUAAUGGCCCACCAAGGCGACGAUCAGUAGCUGGUCUGAGAGGAUGAUCAGCCACAUUGGGACUGAGACACGACCCAAACUCCUACGGGAGGCAGCAGUGGGGAAUAUUGGACAAUGGGCGCAAGCCUGAUCCAGCCAUGCCGCGUGAGUGAUGAAGGCCUUAGGGUUGUAAAGCUCUUUCGUCCGGGACGAUAAUGACGGUACCGGAAGAAGAAGCCCCGGCUAACUUCGUGCCAGCAGCCGCCGUAA
rnacentral:rRNA from 1 species